rnacentral:lncRNA from 1 species
CAUUUUUUUUGUGGACACUCCUCUUUUUUUCUUUAAUUCUUGUCGUAAAAUCUUAUUAUUCUCUCUUUGACUUUGUGUAAGGAUUUACUGAUUCCUACUUUCCUGUGGGACACUUUUUUAGCAUUCUUCAGUUUAUAUGCACUUUUCAAAAUUUCACCUCUUACCGCAUGGUUUUUAAUGCUUAUAUUUAAUAAUCUAUGCCUACUAUUUAAAUC